rnacentral:rRNA from 1 species
AGCUCCAAUAGCGUAUAUUAAAGUUGUUGCGGUAAAAAGCUCGUAGUUGGAUUUCUGGAGAGGCUAACCGGUCCACACAACGUGUGCGCAUCUGGCUUGGCUCCUUCAUCCUCUCGACAGACGUAUCUGCGCUUGAUUGCGUGGUGCGGAUUUCGGGACUUUUACUUUGAGGAAAUUAGAGUGUUCACGGCAGGCUAUCGCCCGAAUACAUUAGCAUGGAAUAAUACUAUAGGAUCUUGGUUCUAUUUUGUUGGUUUCUAGAAUUGAGAUAAUGAUUAAUAGGGACAAUUGGGGGCAUUCGUAUCAACACGUCAGAGGUGGAAUUCUUGGAUUGUGUUGCGACGAACUACUGCGAAAGCAUUUGCCAAGGAUGUUUUCA